rnacentral:rRNA from 1 species
UUGUUGGUAAGGUAAAAGCUUACCAAGGCUUCGAUCAGUAGCUGGUCUGAGAGGACGACCAGCCACACUGGGACUGAGACACGGCCCAGACUCCUACGGGAGGCAGCAGUGGGGAAUUUUGGACAAUGGGGGCAACCCUGAUCCAGCCAUGCCGCGUGAGUGAAGAAGGCCUUCGGGUUGUAAAGCUCUUUCAGCCGGAACGAAACGGUUACGGAUAACACCCGUGACUACUGACGGUACCGGAAGAAGAAGCACYGGCUAACUACGUGCCAGCAGCCGCGGUAGUACGUAGGGUGCGAGCGUUAAUCGGAAUUACUGGGCGUAAAGCGUGCGCAGGUGGUUUUGUAAGUCAGAUGUGAAAGCCCCGGGCUCAACCUGGGAACUGCGUUUGAAACUACAAGACUAGAGUGUGGCAGAGGGGGGUGGAAUUCCGCGUGUAGCAGUGAAAUGCGUAGAGAUGUGGAGGAACACCGAUGGCGAAGGCAGCCCCCUGGGUCAACACUGACGCUCAGGCACGAAAGCAUGGGGAGCAAACAGGAUUAGAUACCCUGGUAGUCCAUGCCCUAAACGAUGUCAACUAGUUGUCGGGCCUUUACGGGCUUGGUAACGUAGCUAACGCGUGAAGUUGACCGCCUGGGGAGUACGAUCGCAAGAUUAAAACUCAAAUGAAUUGACGGGGACCCGCACAAGCGGUGGAUUAUGUGGAUUAAUUCGAUGCAACGCGAAAAACCUUACCUACCCUUGACAUGUAUCGAAGCCCGCAGAAAAGCGGGGGUGCCCGAAAGGGAACGAUAACACAGGUGCUGCAUGGCUGUCGUCAGCUCGUGUCGUGAGAUGUUGGGUUAAGUCCCGCAACGAGCGCAACCCUUGUCAUUAAUUGCCAUCAUUUAGUUGGGCACUUUAAUGAGACUGCCGG